UAAGGCCGGAUGAUGAGUGAUAUGCAUAGUUCAGAUGAUCUAACCCUAGUGGUUGUGAUUACUUAGAAUAAAUAGUCUUUCGCUCCUAACUGACGGCCUUG
rnacentral:snoRNA from 1 species